UACGUAGGGUGCGAGCGUUGUCCGGAAUUAUUGGGCGUAAAGAGCUCGUAGGCGGUGUGUCGCGUCGGCCGUGAAAACCUGGGGCUCAACUCUGGGCGUGCGGUCGAUACGGGCAUCACUUGAGUUCGGCAGGGGAGACUGGAAUUCCUGGUGUAGCGGUGAAAUGCGCAGAUAUCAGGAGGAACACCUGUGGCGAAGGCGGGUCUCUGGACCGUAACUGACGCUGAGACACGAAAGCGUGGGUAGCAAACAGG
rnacentral:rRNA from 1 species